GAUUCGCGGCCUAUCAGCUUGUUGGUGAGGUAGUGGCUCACCAAGGCGACGACGGGUAGCCGGCCUGAGAGGGCGACCGGCCACACUGGGACUGAGACACGGCCCAGACUCCUACGGGAGGCAGCAGUGGGGAAUAUUGCACAAUGGGCGAAAGCCUGAUGCAGCGACGCCGCGUGAGGGAUGACGGCCUUCGGGUUGUAAACCUCUUUCAGCAGGGAAGAAGCGAAAGUGACGGUACCUGCAGAAGAAGCACCGGCUAACUACGUGCCAGCAGCCGCGGUAAUACGUAGGGUGCGAGCGUUGUCCGGAAUUAUUGGGCGUAAAGAGCUCGUAGGCGGUGUGUCGCGUCUGCUGUGAAAACUCAGGGCUCAACUCUGAGCUUGCAGUGGGUACGGGCACACUAGAGUGCUGUAGGGGAGACUGGAAUUCCUGGUGUAGCGGUGAAAUGCGCAGAUAUCAGGAGGAACACCGGUGGCGAAGGCGGGUCUCUGGGCAGUUACUGACGCUGAGGAGCGAAAGCAUGGGGAGCGAACAGGAUUAGAUACCCUGGUAGUCCAUGCCGUAAACGUUGGGCGCUAGGUGUGGGGUCCAUUCCACGGAUUCCGUGCCGCAGCUAACGCAUUAAGCGCCCCGCCUGGGGAGUACGGAA
rnacentral:rRNA from 1 species